rnacentral:rRNA from 1 species
GACGAACGCUGGCGGCGUGCUUAACACAUGCAGGUCGAACGGUGAAGCGCCUUCCUUUUUGGUGGGUGUGGAUGAGUGGCGAACGGGUGAGUAACACGUGAGUAACCUGCCCCCUUCUUCUGGAUAACCGCAUGAAAGUGUGGCUAAUACGGGAUAUUCUGGGUCUGUCGCAUGAUGGGUCUGGGAAAGAUAUUGUUUCGGUGGGGGAUGGGCUCGCGGCCUAUCAGCUUGUUGGUGGGGUGAUGGCCUACCAAGGCGGUGACGGGUAGCCGGCCUGAGAGGGUGGACGGUCACACUGGGACUGAGACACGGCCCAGACUCCUACGGGAGGCAGCAGUGGGGAAUAUUGCACAAUGGGCGCAAGCCUGAUGCAGCGACGCCGCGUGAGGGAUGGAGGCCUUCGGGUUGUGAACCUCUUUCGCCAGUGAAGCAGGCCUGCCUCGUUUGUGGGUGGGUUGACGGUAGCUGGAUAAGAAGCGCCGGCUAACUACGUG